CCCCCCCGUGACCCCGCCGUGACCCCGCCCCUCCCCCCCAGGGCUACCCCGGCCUCCUGCACACCAAGGUCGCCGCCUACAUCAGCCUGGACCGCGCCGUGCUGGGCGCCGAUCGGUUCGUGGUGCGGAGCAGCCCCACCCUGGCGAGCCUGGUGGAGAGCGCGCUGGAGCAGGUGGAGAGCCCCAACGAGGGCGGCAGGAGCCUCCUGGAGCAGCUGAGGCGGCGGCCGGGGCGGCGCUGGGAGAGCGACCUGAUCCGCCCCCUGGACCCCCAGGGCGGCGCCUUCCCCUUCGCGGCGGCCGCGGGGGGUCCCGGCGCUGGAGCUGGCCUUCGAGGAGGUGGGCACGGG